rnacentral:rRNA from 1 species
UACAGAGGCCUCGAGCGUUAGGCGGAAUCACUGGGCUUAAAGCGUGUGUAGGCGGACGGGUAAGUACCUUGUGAAAUCCCACGGCUCAACCGUGGAACCGCUUGGUAUACUGCUUGUCUUGGAGCCACUUAGGGGUUACCGGAACAAAUGGUGGAGCGGUGAAAUGCGUAGAUAUCUGGAGGAACACCGGUGGCGAAGGCGGCAUCCUGGACCAACACUGACACUGAGGAGCGGAAAGCCAAGGGGAGCAAACGGG